rnacentral:lncRNA from 1 species
AUGUCCUCCAUGUCCUUGAUGUCCUCAAUCUUCUNNNNNNNNNNGUCACCACGUCACCGUCCCCAUCUUGUCCUCCUUGUCCUCGAUGUCCUCAAUGUCCUCCACGUCCUCCUUGUCCCCCUUGUCCUUGAUGUCCUCCAUGUCCUUGAUGUCCUCCACAUCCUCGCUGUCCCCAAUGUCCCCAAUGUCCCCCUUGUCCCCCUUGUCCUCGAUGUCCUCCAUAUCCUCGAUGUCCUCCAUGUCCUUNNNNNNNNNNNNNNNNNNNNNNNNNNNNNNNNNCCCCGUCCCCAUCCCCACGUCCUCCUUGUCACCUCCACCACGUCCCCACCGCGUCCCCACCACCACGUCCCUGUCCCCCGGCGCCACGUCAGUGUCACCCUGUCCCCACGACCACGGCGCCACGUCACUGUCCCCACAGCGCCAUCUUCACCCCCCCGUGGCCCCAGCCCUGCGGCCACGGUGGCACUUUCGUGUCCCCAUCAUCACGUCCCCACUGUCACCUCCACGUCCCCGUCACCACGUCACCGUCCCCAUCCUCAGGUCCUUGUCCCCAUCAUCACGUCCCCACUGUCACCUCCACGUCCCCGUCACCACGUCACCGUCCCCAUCCUCAGGUCCUUGUCCCCAUCAUCACGUCCCCACUGUCACCUCCACGUCCCCAUCACCACGUCACCGUCCCCAUCCUCAUGUCCUUGUCCCCACCUCCUUGUCCCCAUGUCCUUGUCCCCAUCUUCAUGUCCUUGUCCCCAUCCUCAGGUUCUUGUCCCCAUCUUCACGUCCCCACCAUCAUCUCCAUGUCCCCAUCUCAACAUCUUUGUCCCCAUCCUUGUGUCCUUGUCCCCAUCUCAAGGUCCUUGUCCCCAUCCUUGUGUCAUUGUCCCCAUCACCAUGUCCCCAUCACCAUCUCCUUGUCCCCAUCCCCACGUCCUUGUCCCCAUCUCAACGUCCUUGUCCCCAUCCUUGUGUCAUUGUCCCCAUCAGGUCCUUGUCCCCAUCCUCAGCUCCUUGUCCCCAUCUCCAUGUCCCCACCAUCAUCUCCUUGUCCCCAUCCCCAUGUCCUUGUCCCCAUCUUCAUGUCCCCAUCACCAUCUCCUUGUCCCCAUCCUCAGGUCCAUGUCCCCAUCUCCUUGUCCCCAUCACCACGUCCCCACCAUCAUCUCCGUGUCCCCAUCCUCACGUCCUUUUCCCCAUCCUCACGUCCUUGUCCCCAUCCUCGUGUCCUUGUCCCCAUCCUCAGGUCCAUGUCCCCAUCUCCUUGUCCCCAUCACCACGUCCCCACCAUCAUCUCCAUGUCCCCGUCACCAUGUCCUUGUCCCCAUGUCCCCAUCCCCACCUCCAUGUCCCCAUCCCCGUGUCCUUGUCCCCAUCCUCAGGUCCAUGUCCCCAUCUCCUUGUCCCCAUCACCACGUCCCCACCAUCAUCUCCGUGUCCCCAUCCUCACGUCCUUUUCCCCAUCCUCACGUCCUUGUCCCCAUCCUCGUGUCCUUGUCCCCAUCCUCAGGUCCUUGUCCCCAUCUUCAUGUCCCCAUCACCAUCUCCUUGUCCCCAUCACCACGUCCUUGUCCCCAUCCUCGUGUCCUUGUCCCCAUCUCCACGUCCUUGUCCCCAUGUCCCCAUCCCCAUGUCCUUGUCCCCAUCUUCAUGUCCCCACCAUCAUCUCCAUGUCCCCAUCCCCACGUCCUUGUCCCUGUCCUCAUGUCCUUGUCCCCAUCCCCACGUCCCCACCAUCAUCUCCGUGUCCCCAUCCUCA